rnacentral:lncRNA from 1 species
CAAAAAGCAAAACAGUGAAACUGUCUCUGUACCAACUGUCAGCACAGAAGGAUCAUGGAGCAGGAAGAGAUGUCUUCAGUUGUGGUUAUUCAGGGGAAAUGACACAGUUCAACUUCUUUAAAUGCCAAUUCCCUCUUAUGUUACAUGUCAAUUAAUUACAAGUUUUGACAUUCAUUUUCUGACAUUUUGCAAUCUAUGUUCUCUCCUUCCUUUCCACCUUUCCUUGCUCCCCAAGAAGGCAAGUAAUAUUAUAGAAGUUGUACAUAUAUUAUCAUACAAUACGUAUUUCCCUGUUCAUGUUGUGAAAAAGGCAUAUAUUGCCUGCAUUUUCAAGUCAGUGUACAUACACAAAACAUUUGUAUAUACAUGUAUAUGCAUAUAUGUAAGUGUUUAUAUGUGAAUAUACAAAAGUAUUUCUAUUUUUUUAGAACUCAAGACCCUAACCCUUUGUUUGUUCAUAUAUGUGAAUGUUUAUGUUCUUGAGAGAUUAUUAAAUGCUUGUUGCC